AGUUAUCUGUGGAUGAAUAGCUCAAUGAAAUUAGACACUUUAUUGGUUUAUCUUGACGUUUAUCUUACGCAGACUUCUAUAAACAUGAUGUUGAUUUUGGUGUUGUCUUGCUGCUUAGUGUUGACUUAUGCUGAUGCAGUUCAACGAGACGAUAACGAAAUAAACUUGAAAACUCGCAUGCAAAUUUUUAUAAAAUUAGUUCCUGCAAAUCAAGACGGUUACUUGGAGAAAAGAAGGCAGUUAUCAACAAGGGAUAGCUCAUUAAAUCCUGAAAAUUCUGAUAAAAAUCUCUAGAUUAAAUGACUUUGUUUCAAUACAAGAUAAUUGCACCGUCUCGUAUCUAUGUGUUUAUCUAAUUGAGCAUGUCAAGAGAGAGAGAGAGAGAAAUUAAAAACAUCGCCAGAGGACAACAGCUUUGUCUGCACGAGAUGAGAGAAAAUAUGUAGGUCUCAACUGGGUCUGCACUGCCUGCAUAGUCAUUUGAUUCACUACACGCAUCCUUAAUAUCGGGAAUAGAAGACUUGCUAUUAUCAUGUUAAAAUGAGUUGUAGACUGUACAUCCUAGCUGGUUCACACAAUCUAUUCCAUUCUCUCUUGACACUUCGUAAGACUCACUUGCACGAAUUUGUCUUAGCAUAUGGAAUAAGAAAUGUGAAU